UUAUCUACUAAGCCGUGUCUCCAGUUCCCC
rnacentral:piRNA from 1 species